rnacentral:sRNA from 20 species
AUGCCCAAUGGUAAAAGUAUAUUAAUUUCACCAUAAUUACCAUAAAUAAUAAUCAAAAAGGAAUUAUGAUAUAAU